rnacentral:rRNA from 1 species
UACAGAGGGUGCGAGCGUUAAUCGGAAUUACUGGGCGUAAAGCGCGCGUAGGCGGCUUCGUCAGUCGGAUGUGAAAGCCCCGGGCUUAACCUGGGAACUGCAUUCGAUACUGCGAGGCUAGAGUAUGGUAGAGGAAAGCGGAAUUCCGGGUGUAGCGGUGAAAUGCGUAGAUAUCCGGAGGAACAUCAGUGGCGAAGGCGGCUUUCUGGACCAAUACUGACGCUGAGGUGCGAAAGCGUGGGGAGCAAACAGG